rnacentral:rRNA from 1 species
UGGGGAAUAUUGCACAAUGGGCGCAAGCCUGAUGCAGCCAUGCCGCGUGUGUGAAGAAGGCCUUCGGGUUGUAAAGCACUUUCAGCGAGGAGGAAGGUGGUGGACUUAAUACGUUCAUCAAUUGACGUUACUCGCAGAAGAAGCACCGGCUAACUCCGUGCCAGCAGCCGCGGUAAUACGGAGGGUGCAAGCGUUAAUCGGAAUUACUGGGCGUAAAAGCGCACGCAGGCGGUUUGUUAAGUCAGAUGUGAAAUCCCCGGGCUCAACCUGGGAACUGCAUUUGAAACUGGCAAGCUAGAGUCUCGUAGAGGGGGGUAGAAAUUCCAGGUGUAGCGGUGAAAUGCGUAGAGAUCUGGAGGAAUACCGGUGGCGAAGGCGGCCCCCCUGGACGAAGAUUGACGCUCAGGCUGCGAAAGGCGUGGGGGCAGCAAAACAGGAUUAGAUACCCUGGUAGUCCACGCUGUAAACGAUGUCGAUUUGGAGGUUGUGCCCUUGAGGCGU